AACCUUCGGGUUAGUGGCGGACGGGUGAGUAACGCGUGAGAAUCUGCCCUCAGGAGGGGGAUAACGGUUGGAAACGACCGCUAAUACCCCAUAUGCCGAUAGGUGAAAUGAAUUUCGCCUGAGGAUGAGCUCGCGUCUGAUUAGCUUGUUGGUGAGGUAAUGGCUCACCAAGGCUUCGAUCAGUAGCUGGUCUGAGAGGAUGAUCAGCCACACUGGGACUGAGACACGGCCCAGACUCCUACGGGAGGCAGCAGUGGGGAAUUUUCCGCAAUGGGCGAAAGCCUGACGGAGCAACGCCGCGUGAGGGACGAAGGCCUCUGGGCUGUAAACCUCUUUUCUCAAGGAAGAAGAUAUGACGGUACUUGAGGAAUAAGCCACGGCUAAUUCCGUGCCAGCAGCCGCGGUAAUACGGGAGUGGCAAGCGUUAUCCGGAAUUAUUGGGCGUAAAGCGUCCGCAGGCGGCCUUCCAAGUCUGCUGUUAAAGCGUGGAGCUUAACUCCAUUAUGGCAGUGGAAACUGAUCAGCUUGAGUAUGGUAGGGGCAGAGGGAACUCCCGGUGUAGCGGUGAAAUGCGUAGAUAUCGGGAAGAACACCAGAGGCGAAGGCGCUCUGCUGGUCCAUUACUGACGCUCAUGGACGAAAGCCAGGGGAGCGAAAGGGAUUAGAUACCCCUGUAGUCCUGGCCGUAAACGAUGAACACUAGGUGACGGGGGAAUCGACCCCUUCGGUGUCGUAGCUAACGCGUUAAGUGUUCCGCCUGGGGAGUACGCACGCAAGUGUGAAACUCAAAGGAAUUGACGGGGGCCCGCACAAGCGGUGG
rnacentral:rRNA from 1 species